rnacentral:rRNA from 1 species
UACGGAGGGGCGAGCGUUAUUCGGAAUUAUUGGGCGUAAAGGGCGCGUAGGCGGCGCGAUAAGUCAAAGGUGAAAUCCCUCGGCUCAACUGAGGAACUGCCUUUGAGACUGUCGAGCUCGAGGCCGGGAGGGGGUAGCGGAAUUCCCAGUGUAGCGGUGAAAUGCGUAGAUAUUGGGAGGAACACCAGUGGCGAAGGCGGCUACCUGGACCGGUUCUGACGCUGAUGCGCGAAAGCGUGGGUAGCAAACAGGA